rnacentral:rRNA from 1 species
UAGAGUUUGAUCAUGGCUCAGGACGAACGCUGGCGGCGUGCUUAACACAUGCAAGUCGAACGGAAAGGCCCUUCGGGGUACUCGAGUGGCGAACGGGUGAGUAACACGUGGGUGAUCUGCCCUGCACUUUGGGAUAAGCCUGGGAAACUGGGUCUAAUACCGAAUAGGACCACGCGCUUCAUGGUGUGUGGUGGAAAGCUUUUGCGGUGUGGGAUGGGCCCGCGGCCUAUCAGCUUGUUGGUGGGGUAAUGGCCUACCAAGGCGACGACGGGUAGCCGGCCUGAGAGGGUGACCGGCCACACUGGGACUGAGAUACGGCCCAGACUCCUACGGGAGGCAGCAGUGGGGAAUAUUGCACAAUGGGCGCAAGCCUGAUGCAGCGACGCCGCGUGAGGGAUGACGGCCUUCGGGUUGUAAACCUCUUUCAAUAGGGACGAAGCGCAGA